GAGCAGCUGCACAUUGUGUGUCUCUUACUAAAGCAUCGUCGAAAAAAAAUUAAAACAAUUGGCCAGCCACCUUGCCCGCAUGCCAGCGCGCCUGCCUCCCAGCUUGUUUUAGGCCGUAUUUUUUGACAAGUACGGUACAUCUUCAAGUGAGCCCGGGAGCUCUCCUCCUCGACAACGUCAUCGAC